rnacentral:rRNA from 1 species
GAUGAACGCUGGCGGCGUGCCUAAUACAUGCAAGUCGAGCGAACAGACGAGGAGCUUGCUCCUCUGACGUUAGCGGCGGACGGGUGAGUAACACGUGGAUAACCUACCUAUAAGACUGGGAUAACUUCGGGAAACCGGAGCUAAUACCGGAUAAUAUAUUGAACCGCAUGGUUCAAUAGUGAAGGACGGUUUUGCUGUCACUUAUAGAUGGAUCCGCGCCGCAUUAGCUAGUUGGUAAGGUAACGGCUUACCAAGGCGACGAUGCGUAGCCGACCUGAGAGGGUGAUCGGCCACACUGGAACUGAGAAACGGUCCAGACUCCUACGGGAGGCAGCAGUAGGGAAUCUUCCGCAAUGGGCGAAAGCCUGACGGAGCAACGCCGCGUGAGUGAUGAAGGUCUUCGGAUCGUAAAACUCUGUUAUUAGGGAAGAACAAAUGUGUAAGUAACUAUGCACGUCUUGACGGUACCUAAUCAGAAAGCCACGGCUAACUACGUG